AUAACACAUCACAUGCAGCGUUACGCAGUUUGGUUUGGAGGUUCCAUGCUGGCUUCAACACCAGAGUUUUUCCAAGUGUGUCACACCAAGAAGGACUAUGAAGAGUAUGGCCCUAGUAUUUGUCGUCAUAAUCCUGUUUUUGGAGUCAUGUCAUAACGUUCAUCCAGUGGAAAUAAGAUCUCUGAAACAAUGCUGGUGAAGAAACUCAUGAAGUGCAGAGGAAGGCAGCAGAUACUGUAAAUACUGAAGCAAGAUGUGGUUAACUCUGAGGCAUUUGGAUCACCAUUGUGCACUAAAGCACAGCUUACAGCCCUAAGUCAUUUCAGUACGAGCCAUUUCUCUGCUGACUACUCAGAGUCUUUCCUUCUUUCUUCCUAAAUGUGAGGUUAUUGAAAAUAGGUACGUCUCGGUUUAGGAGGUUGUGCAAAUACUACUGAAACUGCAUCUAGAAGAAUAAGGCAGUGUUUUACUGCUUGUGGAAAGAUCUAAACCUUUCCCACUUGUGCCCUGAGUUUGCAAUCAAACCUUUAGCAAUGGAGCACUAAAUACCACAUUGCCUUUAGGGGAGUUGGAGUGGAUACAGGUACCUACCCAAAUGGAACAGAUUGCAGGAUUGGGACAGUACUUUGUAAAUGUAGGUUUUCAUAUAAUUUUGUAUUUUAUGAUGUUGGUAGGGUGAAUUGAUGACUAGUUCUAAGCACGAACAGCUGUCAAUGUCAUGGAGUGGUGUUAUGCAUUUCCAGGUGUGAGGCGUGUAUUGGAGUAGUGCUGGUAUAUUUUUGGGGGAAAAACAAAAAGCCAUGUAUGAUAGAAACUGAUCUGUUCAUGUUUGGAUGAUACAAGUGAUUUACAGUAUUGUGCAAAGUUUAUUAUAGCCACUGUUCUUUUGUUUUGAAUUUUCUGAAAAUGUUUUUUAGGAGAUGAUGUUUUGUUUUGCUGUUGGUGAGUGAUGGAUGACACACGGGCCUUGCACCAGUGAAAUAAAAGCUGUUAACAUCUUUAUGAA